rnacentral:lncRNA from 1 species
UUGUGAUUGGAAAAUGAAUCGUGAUUUAAAAGAAAAAUGGGUCUAAAUGGGGUUUUGAAAAUGCGACGAUUUGACCCAAAAUUAUAGUUUAAAAAGGGUUUUUGAAACAAAAAUUGGAGUCGCCACUUGGUAAUGAGUUAAGGUGUACCAAGUCACCAAAAAAUGAAUUUUUAAAGAAAAAUAGGAAAAAGUAGUAAGAAACCCCUUUUAAACGACUCCUAGUCCACGUAAACCAAAGAAAAAGGUUCGGGAGUCACAUUUGACAAAGGGGAAGGCAAGGAUAAAAUCCAAGGCACCCCUUUGACCUAGCCAAGGCUAGUUGCAUGAUUUAAUCAAAGAUUUUCUUAUUUUAACCAAAGAAUUUAUUACAUUUGGAUGCACUACAUGAAUGCAAACCCUAGACCUAGGGGUAUUGGGGGAAAUUUCUCUUCAAAGGUUAAGUGGUGCCAAUCACAUUAAUUGUGAAGCCCAAUAACGAUCCUUCGAAGAAGUCACGAAUAAUGCAAGUGGAAUGCUCAAACAAGGAAAGAAAAUAUGAGAGGUGUGCAAAUGACGGCAAAAGUGCUCGUGUGCAAGUAAAGGGAUAAAAAAUGCAUAUGUGCAAAUGAGACAAAGUGUUCGUGUGCAAGUGAAGGGAUAAAAAGGUGUACGUGUGCAAAUGAGAGGAGAAGUGUUCGUGUGCAAGUGAAGGGAUAAAGGUGUAUGUGUGCAAAUGAGAGGAGAAGUGAAAGUAUAAAAUGAUAAAGUGGAUUAAAAAAUGCAUGAGCCUAGGGAAUCCAUGCAUAUUGGGUACGGGGAGACCUAAAUCGUGACUUAAUUUGCCCUUUUAUAGAGGGAAUACAAGCGUGCUAAGGCUUAGAAAAAGCCACACUCGUCUAUAUCCCAUAUUUAAGGGGACUCUCAAUCAAAUGAACCCUAUAGCUAGCAUGAAAUGCAAAAAAUCCUAAAAUGGAGGGAAAAGGGGUUCGAGGGGCAUGCAAAAUGAUAAAACUAAAAAGAAUGCAUGACAUGUAAUGAACAUGCAAAUAUGUGCUAACGAGGGGAAAUCCCUAAGGGUCUAGCGUUGGACUAGCCCAUUCUAUGAAUUCCGACUAGCGUUGGCCUAGUGGAAACGUACAUUCAUCCAUCACAUUCAUUCAUGCUAUGGAAAGCGAGUAGACAUGCCAAACACUUAUAAACACAUAGCACAUAAAACUUAGCAUGCUCAACUAGAUGCAAGAACCUAAUUAAAGCAAGUAACACAUAACACAUAGGCAAUUAAAACCCUAACUAUUACAUUUGCUAGCUAGGCACACGUCUUCGAUAGGUCUUCAUUGAAUGCUCCUCCAAGCCCUAUCUAUUACAAGCCAAGAGGUGUACACAUACCCCAUAAAGAAGAACUUAAAUAAAAGCAAAAGUAAAUGAAAUGAAAGAACUAAAGAAAGGCAAUGAAAGCAAAUAGUCAUGUAAUUUCCACGUAACACGUUGGAUCACAUAGGAGAGACACAAAAAGGGAUAAAAGAAAAUAUACCGCCCCCUUUGAAUGGUGUCCAAAUGAAAGAAAAAUGGCUUCAAAACAAUAAAAAGGUCAAGGUACCACUUUAAUUGAGAAAAAUUAAAAGAAAUGCGCAAAUCUAAAGCUCACUUGAUCGUAAAGCCCCUAAAGUCAUGACUUAAGUGCAAUUGACAAAACAUGGUAGUUAAUUGAAGCAAAGCAAGCAAUGAAAUUGCAAAAAUUAAAGCUGUCAAGGACCAAAUUGAGGAUAUUAUUCAAUUUAUGGGUCAUAUUGGCACAAUGGGAAACUUGAUGGGUCAAAGUGCAAUUUUGAAUGAUUUUUAUGCAUGCAGCAACGUAAGAAAACAAAAUUUUCUGCAACUACAAAACCUGUUGCCUUUCUCAAACCUGCGGCAAGUUCCAGCAAACAACUCCAUCCAUUUUAUCAUACAAACAAAUUCAUCAACCCAGAAAUUAUUGACCCAAUUCAAAACAUGAAAUUUUGGGUGCAAGAUUAAGAUGGCAAAUCUGGUUUUGAUCAUCAACAAAAGAAGGAAAUUCAUUAUCCAUCAAUAACAAAAGAAGCAAAUCUGGCUUUGUGCACCUUCAGCCGCAGCUUUUCUUGCAUUUCAACAUACAAAUGUGUUCACCAUAUACCAGAAUUUUAACUACCAAUCACCAACUAAACUUGUAACUUCAUUGUAGGAUUGAAACAAGAAAAUGGAGCUAAUCAUCAAAGGUAGAAAGAAAACUAAACAGCAAAAGAAUGAAACAGAAAAAAACGCAGCAGGCUUUCUGCAAUUCGGCACUUUACAAAAUCCAGCUUUCAAACACAAUCAAAUCCAAGCAGAACUACCACACAAUCCUCUCCCUUUUGUAUCAUGAAACUGGUAGAUUUAAACACCAAAAGUCGGAUAACAACAUGCACAUUUGGACAGCUCAAGCAAUCUUCAUAUAAAGCUUAUGAAACAUUUCUGCAACAAUAAGAAGUUUUCGGCAGCCAGCAAAAGCUUUGGGAAUUUCGGCAACCAAAAGUGCAUUUGCUGCAAAUUCCUUCGACAGCCUUUGCAAUUUUCACACGAUCCUUUGGUAAACAAAAUUUGUACCACAGCUUUGACACAACUUCAAUCAAAACAUGGUUGGAAACCUCUAGAAAAAACAAUUGCUGGAAACAUUUAAUUGUCAACUUUCACGCAGAAACUACAAAGACCCACUCUUCGAACUGAAAUUAUUCCUACGCCACUCUCCCUUCUACAAACUUCUGCAACUUUCGAAUAUUAGCGGUUUGAUUCCAACAAGAAGAACCAUUCGAACCUUCUAAAAUAAUCGCCAAAAUCUCCAACUAAACAUCUAGCUUUAUAAACAGAAUUUUAGGACAAAGAUAUACGAAUGCAGAAAUGAAGAUGUAUAUUAUCAACUGUAAACUUAGCAAAACAGAAAUGGCAUCAGCGCAUCAGGACAAAUGGGAAAAAUGAACCCACAACAUGCUAUUUUACCCUGAAAAGCAGUCCAAUCCACUACCACGCACUGAACUCGACAUAAAAAACAGAUUAUACGCGUACAGAAAUAGAACCCAUUGGACAUAAUCACAGGCUCCAGUUGGAACGAUUGAACCAAACAUCUUUACCGACUUGUCAUGACCUCUAGGAACUGAAUAGAGACUCAAAACUUAGACCUUCAUCACAAAUUCUGGGAGCAAAAUAGACAUAAAGUCGGCCUAAACGAAAUCAAAAAUGCAGGAGAAGGAAAAACGAAAGGGAUGGUUUGUGAAGUCGGCACAAAAUCUGGAUACUAUCAUUAGUAAAGAAAACUCAGCUACAAGGACACAAUACACAACUAAAGAAAGCAUCUUUAGCCUGUAAAAGACAAGUAACAAGCAAGGAAGAUUACCACAAAAGCAAUAAACUUGCAGGCAAACAGAUUCUUGUACCUCCUGGUCAUAUCCGAAAAUUUCAGACAGGAAGAGGUUGUGGGUUACCUGUUUUGAUGCUAUAGAACGGGAUUUAUGGUUGGAAUCUGAAGAAAAGGACUUGACUUCACCACAAUCUGAGGGAAGAUAAGCUGCGGAUCCUCUUUUCCUUUGUUUCUCAGCUUCGAUCCUCCAGUCACUUUUCACGAAAUCUCCUUCUUUCCUGCUCCUUUUCCCUCUCUCAGAGUCACGGCUUUUCUUAGCCUUUCUCUCCUUUCUUUCUGGUGUCUAAACGUUACCUUCCUUGGUUCCUUCCCCUCUCUAUUUCAUUCCCUUUCCUGUUUUCACUUUCCGUUUUCUCCUUGUCGAACUCACGGCCGCCUUUUCCUUCUCUUCCUGUUUUUCCUUUUCUUUCUUUUGCCUUAUCUCACUCUAUCCCGUCAUUCCCCCUCGUAGCUCUCUCUAUUUUCAGCCUUGUCUUCCCCCAUUUUGGUUUCUCCCCCUCUCUCCUCUUUUGCGGCUGUCCCUCCUCUUGCUUUUUUAUAUCAUCAACCCCCCUCCUAAACCCUUAAAACAUUGCCACCAUAUUUGCAGCUUAAGGAGCCGCACAAGUCCUCCUUUGCAAACUGCAAAAAAUUGCAGCUUGCAUGCCACGGCUCAAUUUUUUUUUUUAACUAAUUUAUUAAUUAAACAAAAAUGAUAAUAAUAAUAAUAACAAUAAUAACAAAAACAACUUAAUUAACAUUGGAUAAAAUAAAUAAACUAAAAACAACAAAAAUGCCACUUUCCAUUUUUCAUUUUUCUCAUUUUUUCAUUUUUUUUCAUUUUUCAUUUUCAUUCUCAUUUUUCCAUUUUUUCCAAGAAAACAUUGAAUUUAAAUUAAAACAUAUUUUUUUUGAAUGCUUUUCUUUUCAUUUCGAGAAAUUCUAUGCUAAAAACUUAAAAAUAAUAAAACUAUAAACUAAAAACUAAAAAUCGAAUAAAACUAACGCGACAAAUAAAAAACUAAAAAUAAAUAGUAAAUGAAAUUACACCAAAAAUUUGGUGUCUACAGCUUGCCCCUCUUUGUCUGAGUUUUGAAAAAGCUUGAGACAAAGAAGUAGACACCAAAUACUUACCUGCUUUAUUCGGUGGCAAACGUCACGAACGGUGGACGUUUUAGAAACAGGGACUGACCCCUUUUGACAAAGCUUAAAAUGGAAUUGACUCAGACAGGAAAUUUAAAACGGGACUGACCCGAACAGGAAUUUAAAAACGGGACUGACCCGAACAGGAUUUGAAAUCAUGGGACUGACGCGAACAAAAUGUAAAAGUCUUAAUGAAACAAGGGGAUAUGUGAAUGAUCAAAAUGCAAUUAUUCUAGGACUUGAAGGGUCAAAGUGAAAAUUUUAGAAAUAUUUCAUGCAUGCGUAUGAAUUGCUACGAGGCUAUGUUUCUGCAACAAAGUUUCAACCAUUUCUUAAACUUUCUGCAACAUUCCAGCCACAUUUUGCUCUUUGAUUCAUUAUCUCAAACAAACAAAAAUUCAAAGUCUCAAACCACUAAUACCACACGGUCAUUAAACAUUCAUCUCACUUUCCAACAUAAGAUCUUUAUGUUUAAACAUCAGAAAAUCAUGCAAAAGGUCACGCAAGCAGCAAAUUUCUGGAAAAACAAACAUACAAGAACUGGUUCGGCACUUGAACUGUCUAAGUUCCAGCCAAGUUUUCCAACAUGCUUCAAGUAUUUAAGAUCUAAAUAUGCAAACUCAGCACCAAACUUCCACUUCCCCCACCCUCUUUCUACACAAAACUGACCAAUAGAUUAGAAGAAACCAAAGCCUAGUGCAUGGUUACAGUGAAAGAAAACAGCAAAGUAGCCACGGCAACCUUGCUCUGCUGCAAAUUCUGCGACCAGCAGUUUCAUGUCUUCCUUACCUAGUUCAAGGGUAUUCAUGCACAGUAACUCAAGUCCGGACACUUCCUAAACUGAACAGACAUAGCCAUGGUAGUUCAAAGCAAACAACGGCAAAAAGAAGGAAAAUGCAGUCUGGCCGAAUUGAUAAAAAUGCAACAGAAUUUCUGCUAUCAACAAAAACAAAACAAGUAAGCUGCUGUAUUUUUUUUUAGGCGAAACAUACCUAUGUGCUGAGUUAGUGGGCUAUUGUGAACAAACAAAUCAUCGUUUUUAUCAAAACACAAGCACAAUCCAUCUAAAAAAAUGAUAAAACGCGAACUGAACAUUCAACGAAAGAAAAUCAGCAACAAAUGGCCAAAAACAGCGUCUGAAUACGCAUUCAUCUCUCGGUCCCCAACAAGAAAAGUCUAAACACAUCUUUGUUAGAAAACACUCACAGCAUCCUAAACAAUCAGCAAAUGAAAACAAUACCAUCAAACGAGCAACCCAAGAGAGAACAAAAACUGAUCUUUCCCGUACUGCUGUAUCGAAUCGAGCCUCAAGUUUGUUGCAGCGAAUUUUGUGCUCGAUGCUCAGCCUAAAGUAAACUAAAACCCAGGCAAUAGGAUCGGCAAACAUCACACAAGUCAAGCAAAUAUAACAGUCUCACUAUGAAUCAUAUACUCAAACCCAAACUUAAACCAGACUUACGGACUAAAAUGAAAGGCUACAAGCGACCAUUGAACCAAUAGAUAGCAAAAAAGUUCAAACCAACAAAGGAAGACAGUUUCUAAUUCUAAAAGAGAUAAGGAUAUUACCUUAAUCACAAAAUGAAUCGGGGAAGGACCAAGAAAAGAAUUCGGAUGAUUCUGCCAGGCUUUCGGAAGACGUAAAUGGAGACCAGCGAUGAUAACACAACACCAUCCUUGCAACUUCAAAUCUCCUUUCUUCCUGACUCUGCCCCCAUUCUAUUUUCUGUUUUCUUCCUCCUUCUUGCCGUCCACCUUUUAGCUAUCUCUCCUUCCUCUCUCUAACUUCCAACCGCCUCCUUGAAGCUCUCUCUCAAUCUUUUGUUUUUCCUUAUCUGGUUUCUCUCGGCGCCAUCGUUCUUGGACAGAAACGAUGAGCUGAUUUCCUUGCUGACUCGGUGGCUAGCUGCUUCUUUGGUUCCCUUGUUGUCACUCAGAAAAUUUUCUUUCUUUUCAGCCGCUACUCCGAUCCCUCUACCUUCUUCUGGUUCCUCAUCUUUCUCCCUUUUCCUCUCAGAUUUUUUUUCGAUCUCUUAUGCCGCCGCCUACCUUCCGUUUGUUUUUUCUUUUUCUUGCCGUAACCUUCACUCCCGUCACCUCUCUCUCUCGCUCUCCCAACUCAGCCGAAACCUAGCCCCCCAAAAAAUCUAGAAUCCUCCCCUUCCAGGUGUCCUAGACACCUGGCCUCUUAUGGCUCCUCAAAUUGUGUUCAAGGACCUCCUGCCAUUUCUGUUUGCAAGCUGCGUUAAAAAUGCAGCUUUUUCUGCUGCGACGUUUUUUUUUUUUUUUUUAAAAAAACAACUUGAUAAUUACAAAAAUGAUAAAAUAAAAAUAUAAAUAAUAAAUUGACAAAAACCAGAUAAUAAUAAUAAUAAUGAAAAUAAUUUAAAAACUAAACAACUAGAAACAACAAAAAUGGCCAUUUUUCCAUCUUUUUUCUACAUUUUUUCUUUUUCAUAGUUUUUUCUCAUUUUUCACCUUUUCUCUUUUUCUAAAUGAAUCAAACAACAAUAAAAGAUAAAUUAAGUCGAAAUGACUAAAAUAAAGCUAAAUAAACAAAAUUGCUAUUUUUCUUUUCUUUUUCCUCUUUUUUUUUCCUUUUUUAUGAUUUUUCUUUUUUCAUGAUUUUUCUACGCUAAAACUUAAAAUAAAACUAGAAACUAAAAAAAAAACUAAAAGCAACCACGACAAAUGAAAAUAAAAAAUAAAAAAAAAAAUUACACCAAAAAUUUGGGUCUACAGAAUGAAAUUGAAUGAAUUAGUGAUUUAUUCAAAGAAUCGGCGCCGAAUGACCCUAAAAAGGGUAAAUUGGUCAAAUGAAUUAACAAUUUAUUCAAAAUCGACCAGGUGACCCUAAAAAGGGUAAAUUGGUCAAAUGACCCUAAAAAAGGUAAAUUGGUCAAAUGAAUUGACGAUUUAUUCAAAUCGACCAGGUGACCCUAAAAAGGGUAAAUUGGUCAAAUGACCCUAAAAAAGGUAAAUUGGUCAAAUGAAUUGACGAUUUAUUCAAAAUCGACCAAGUGACCCUAAAAAAGGUAAAUCGGUCAAAUGAAUUGAAAUUCAUGGAAUGAAUUGAAAUUCAUGGAAUGAAUUGGCAAAAUGGAUUGGUUGAAUUGUCCGGCCAUUGGUUAUUUCAAAGAAUUAGUCUAUGAGCCUUCUAAAAUCACGAUUUUGGCCUCAAUUUAUUUAUCGUCUCAAUAGGAGGAAUCAUUUGUGAAUUUUCUUCAAAUUAAUGUCCUUUUAUGCAAGGGAUUUUUACCAACUUUGAUAAAAUGACCAAAAAGUGAUUAUUAGACGCUCAUAUUCCAAAGAUCACUCUAUGAAAAUGAUCGGAUCCUACCUUACCUUGUGCACUCCUCCUUUGGAUGGUACAAAAUGUAAACGUGCAAGUCUCGUUGGAUUAAGUAUCCGAGACACAAGACGGCUUAUUCCUAACACGGGAUCCCCUAAAUGGCAUUCCCUUUCUAGGGUUUAGUGCAUGAUGCCAGUUAUUAAAGCAGGAAAAAAUGCAAUUUGAAAUGAAACGUGACCUAAGGAACCCUUUAUCUGCCAGGGGUAAGCCUAAAAAUGACAUGCAAUCAUGCAAUAUACCAAAAUCUUUAAACGUGCAAUAGCCUGUCUACAAAGGUAGGUUCUAAAAGAAAGUCAUGCCAGACCUCUUAUUUGCUAAUGUUUGUGAAUGCAAAAGACAAGAGACAACGAAACGUGAGUUCAACACGUAAUCACAUAACACAUUGGACAAUUAAGCAACAAAGACAGAUAAGGAAAGAGGGGUGGGACCCCUCCCCUCGUGAAUAGUGUCCCUAGUUUAGGAUAAGGCCAACUCUACCCUAGGCAAUUCUAUCAUGGAUGCAUGAGGUUAGGGCUCACUAAUGCAUCUAGACUCGAUAGGUCAUAGGUCCCCGAGCCUUCAGACUUAGAAACCAAGGGUCAUCAAUCCCAAGGUUCUUUGUCGGUGGCUCGAGCGAUUCCCCAGACAUUGCUACGCACGUCGUGUCACGGCCACAUGUCUGAGUGAAUCUAUCAAAAAUCCUCAAUCUUCGACUAAAAGCUAUAGGCUAUUAACCCAAAGCUUAAAGCGGAAGAUUAAGUGACCCCUCGGAUCGUGCUACGCACACGUCGUGUCACGAUCACACGUCCAAGUAGGUCGCCUAAAAUCCUAACAGGGUGGAGUGGCGUGACAAGCCACUAAAAGAAAAUAAGAGGGAUAAAAGAAGUAAGUAAAGCGUAUGCUCGUAUGCUAGUUCUCGUUUGGAGGGGAGGGGUCAAGAACCAACGCGAGCUCUAAGGUAGAAUCCCCUCCCAAAUGCAAUGCAAAGCGCGGAAUCACAUACAAACAUCCAUUCAUCAAAACAAUCGUAGGCGAACGUGUGAGGAAGUGAGUUGAUACGCGAAAUGCAAAAAUCCUAGAAAAGGAAAAAUGCAACCCUAAACAUCCAAUGUGAUAAAUAAAAAGGUUUAAAAGAAGAAAAAGAAUUUGACUAAAUCGAUUGCUCGGACUCUCAAGUCCCCAGUGGAGUCGCCAACUGUCGCGCCCCAUUUUUUGAUAAAUAAAUAAAAUGGUUUAAAAAAAUGUAUUUUGUGAUUGGAAAAUGAAUUCGUGAUUUAAUAAGAAAAAAAAUGGGUCUAAAAUGGGUUUUUGAAAAUGCGACGAUUUGACCCAAAUUAUAGUUUAAAAGGGUUUUUGAAACAAAAAUUGGAGUCGCCACUUGGUAAUGAGUUAAGGUGUACCAAGUCACCAAAAAAUGAAUUUUUAAAGAAAAAUAGGAAAAAGUAGUAAGAAACCCCUUUUAAACGACUCCUAGUCCACGUAAACCAAAGAAAAAGGUUCGGGAGUCACAUUUGACAAAGGGGAAGGCAAGGAUAAAAUCCAAGGCACCCCUUUGACCUAGCCAAGGCUAGUUGCAUGAUUUAAUCAAAGAUUUUCUUAUUUUAACCAAAGAAUUUAUUACAUUUGGAUGCACUACAUGAAUGCAAACCCUAGACCUAGGGGUAUUGGGGGAAAUUUCUCUUCAAAGGUUAAGUGGUGCCAAUCACAUUAAUUGUGAAGCCCAAUAACGAUCCUUCGAAGAAGUCACGAAUAAUGCAAGUGGAAUGCUCAAACAAGGAAAGAAAAUAUGAGAGGUGUGCAAAUGAAGGCAAAAGUGCUCGUGUGCAAGUAAAGGGAUAAAAAAUGCAUAUGUGCAAAUGAGACAAAGUGUUCGUGUGCAAGUGAAGGGAUAAAAAGGUGUACGUGUGCAAAUGAGAGGAGAAGUGUUCGUGUGCAAGUGAAGGGAUAAAGGUGUAUGUGUGCAAAUGAGAGGAGAAGUGAAAGUAUAAAAUGAUAAAGUGGAUUAAAAAAUGCAUGAGCCUAGGGAAUCCAUGCAUAUUGGGUACGGGGAGACCUAAAUCGUGACUUAAUUUGCCCUUUUAUAGAGGGAAUACAAGCGUGCUAAGGCUUAGAAAAAGCCACACUCGUCUAUAUCCCAUAUUUAAGGGGACUCUCAAUCAAAUGAACCCUAUAGCUAGCAUGAAAUGCAAAAAAUCCUAAAAUGGAGGGAAAAGGGGUUCGAGGGGCAUGCAAAAUGAUAAAACUAAAAAGAAUGCAUGACAUGUAAUGAACAUGCAAAUAUGUGCUAACGAGGGGAAAUCCCUAAGGGUCUAGCGUUGGACUAGCCCAUUCUAUGAAUUCCGACUAGCGUUGGCCUAGUGGAAACGUACAUUCAUCCAUCACAUUCAUUCAUGCUAUGGAAAGCGAGUAGACAUG